rnacentral:lncRNA from 1 species
GUUUUUGCUGACUCGACUAUAUAUGUGUACGACCCAGAUCAUUCAUGUUUGACACAAGGCCAGUUGGAGCAAAACCUGGAGUCCGUGGCUGUAAUUGUUCCUAUGAUGGCUAGACGAGCAGGGAUAAAUGUACAUGACAGAUUGCGGAUCGUUUGGAACACGACGAUAGCGCGACAGUCCGUAAGGUAAGUGUUUGAACGUUGUUGUUUCCAUCUUUCAGAUUUAGUUUUUAUUUACAGAGUACUAAACUGAUUCAUUCUUGUUCAAUUGCAGUGGCGACUGCGGCAUAUUUGUCAUUAAGUACGUUGAAUUUUUAAGUAUAGGAUAUAAGGUUGAUGAAAUCAACCAGUCG